GAGAAAGAGAGAGAGAGAGAGGCAUAAUGAUCAACUAUGGCAAUGAGGAUGAUUAGGGUAAUUCUAGUCAAAUAGAUUAAAUCAUAACUUUUGGAAUUACAUGCAAGCAGAAUGAAAUAUUUAAAGGCUUCAAGCAUUGUCAACUUUAAGGAAAGUAAGAUGCACAGCUUUACUUGGCAUUGCAAGGAGGUUUUUUCCAUGUGACCUCCAUAUAACGCUGGAACAACCUUAUGGUUUCACUGGUAUCCACCCUAUGAAACCACAAAUAUUAUAAAUCUCUCACUAUUUUGAGAUAUAAUCUAUUCUGAAUUAGAAAGAAAAAAAAAAUCCAAUGUUUUAAGGAAAAAUUGGAGAAACAAAUCAUAAACCUAAGCGGUAUGGUUACCUUUUCCUAUAUGGUUAUUAAUAAAUUAUAAUAGUGAAUUCAUUUAUAGAUUCUUCAUUCUUCUAUUGUAAUAGAAAAGAUACCCUUAGAUAUUCCCUGGAAUUGAUAGUCACAACUUCCGAUUGACUGAUAUAAUUUCCUUUAGGAUGCACCAAGAUAGGCAUUUGGAAUGUAGGAACAUGAACUUGAUAGUUUUAGUGCUUAUAAUGUAUAAAUUUUCUUUGAGUAGAUUCAUGAAUGGAGACUAAUUCAUGAAUAUGAUUUUAACUUGUUUGAGUGUCUACUUGGUUAGAGUGGAGAAAGCGAAUCUAU
rnacentral:misc_RNA from 1 species